AUUGAACGCUGGCGGCAGGUCUAACACAUGCAAGUCGAGCGGAUGAAGGGAGCUUGUUCCUGGAUUCAGCGGCGGAUGGGCGUGUAAGGUCUAGGAAUCUGCCUGGUAGGGGGGGAUAACGUUCGGCAACGGGUGCUAAUACCGAAUACGUCCUGAGGGAGAAAGUGGGGGAUGUUCGGACCUCACGCUCCCAGCUGAGCCUAGGUCGGAUGAGCUAGGUGGUGGGGUAAAGGCCUACCAAGGCGCCGAUCCGUAACUGGUCAGAGAGGAUGAUCAGUCACACUAGAACUGAGACCCGGUCCAGACUCCUACGGGAGGCAGCAGUCGGGAAUAUUGCACCAUGGGCGAAAGCCUGACCCAGCCAUGCCGCGCGUGGGAAGAAGGUCUUCGCAUUGUAGAGCACUUUAAGUUGGCACGAAGGGCAGUCACACAAUCCCUGGCCGUUUUGACGUUACCAACAGAAUAAGCACCGGCUAACUUCGUG
rnacentral:rRNA from 1 species